GCCCUUCGGUUGAUCCUGCCGGAGGUCAUUGCUAUUGGAGUCCGAUUUAGCCAUGCUAGUCGCACGAGUUCAGACUCGUGGCAGAUAGCUCAGUAACGCGUGGCCAAACUACCCUAUGGAUCGGGUCAACCUCGGGAAACUGAGGCUAAUCCCGAAUACGGCUCGCCGCCUGGAGUGGCACGAGCCCGAAACGCUACGGCGCCAUAGGAUGUGGCUGCGGCCGAUUAGGUAGACGGUGGGGUAACGGCCCACCGUGCCCAUAAUCGGUACGGGUCAUGAGAGUGAGAGCCCGGAGACGGUAUCUGAGACAAGAUACCGGGCCCUACGGGGCGCAGCAGGCGCGAAACCUUUACACUGCACGACAGUGCGAUAAGGGGACUCCGAGUGCGAGGGCAUACAGUCCUCGCUUUUCUGUACCGUAAGGUGGUACAGGAACAAGAGCUGGGCAAGACCGGUGCCAGCCGCCGCGGUAAUACCGGCAGCUCGAGUGAUGACCGCUAUUAUUGGGCCUAAAGCGUCCGUA
rnacentral:rRNA from 1 species